rnacentral:lncRNA from 1 species
AUGGGAGGAGCAGGAAUAGAAACAUGCUCUAUAGCAGCAGAAAUAUGAGGGAUGCUAAAAUCCUCCUUAGGAGUAGGGGGCUCAUCAGCUGCUAUUUUCUCAAUCUCCUCAUCUUUCUCCUCGGCAUCCUGCAGCUUUGAAUAAGACUGAUGUUGUGCACGCCUGUCCGAUUCUUCGAGCAGUCUUUCCAGAUCUUCCACUAUACGCCUAUACUCUGAGGGACACAUCAGUCAAACAUCAGGAGCCAUGAAAAAAAAAUUAAAGAAAAGAAAAGCCUGAAAUAAUGCCUAAGUCCUAUCAGGAAUAUUAAAGUAAAUUCUACACAGUCCCCGGCAACGGCGCCAAAAAGUUGAUCACUAAUUUAUUAGCAACAAAAUACCGCAACUAACACAGUGCAAUUGUAGCAAAAAUUGGUAACCGAGUAUCGUAUCCACAGGGACUGAUAAACG